GUCUAAUAGCUCAGUUGGUUAGAGCAUAGUGCUGAUAAUGCCAAGUUUGCAGGUUCGAUCCCAAUAUGGGACA